ACGCUGGCGGCAGGCCUAACACAUGCAAGUCGAGCGGUAGAGAGAAGCUUGCUUCUCUUGAGAGCGGCGGACGGGUGAGUAAUGCCUAGGAAUCUGCCUGGUAGUGGGGGAUAACGUUCGGAAACGGACGCUAAUACCGCAUACGUCCUACGGGAGAAAGCAGGGGACCUUCGGGCCUUGCGCUAUCAGAUGAGCCUAGGUCGGAUUAGCUAGUUGGUGGGGUAAUGGCUCACCAAGGCGACGAUCCGUAACUGGUCUGAGAGGAUGAUCAGUCACACUGGAACUGAGACACGGUCCAGACUCCUACGGGAGGCAGCAGUGGGGAAUAUUGGACAAUGGGCGAAAGCCUGAUCCAGCCAUGCCGCGUGUGUGAAGAAGGUCUUCGGAUUGUAAAGCACUUUAAGUUGGGAGGAAGGGCAGUAAAUUAAUACUUUGCUGUUUUGACGUUACCGACAGAAUAAGCACCGGCUAACUCUGUGCCAGCAGCCGCGGUAAUACAGAGGGUGCAAGCGUUAAUCGGAAUUACUGGGCGUAAAGCGCGCGUAGGUGGUUCGUUAAGUUGGAUGUGAAAUCCCCGGGCUCAACCUGGGAGCUGCAUUCAAAACUGACGAGCUAGAGUAUGGUAGAGGGUGGUGGAAUUUCCUGUGUAGCGGUGAAAUGCGUAGAUAUAGGAAGGAACACCAGUGGCGAAGGCGACCACCUGGACUGAUACUGACACUGAGGUGCGAAAGCGUGGGGAGUAAACAGGAUUAGAUACCC
rnacentral:rRNA from 1 species